GACGAACGCUGGCGGCGUGCCUAAUACAUGCAAGUUGAGCGCUGAAGGUUGGUACUUGUACCGACUGGAUGAGCAGCGAACGGGUGAGUAACGCGUGGGGAAUCUGCCUUUGAGCGGGGGACAACAUUUGGAAACGAAUGCUAAUACCGCAUAAAAACUUUAAACACAAGUUUUAAGUUUGAAAGAUGCAAUUGCAUCACUCAAAGAUGAUCCCGCGUUGUAUUAGCUAGUUGGUGAGGUAAAGGCUCACCAAGGCGAUGAUACAUAGCCGACCUGAGAGGGUGAUCGGCCACAUUGGGACUGAGACACGGCCCAAACUCCUACGGGAGGCAGCAGUAGGGAAUCUUCGGCAAUGGACGAAAGUCUGACCGAGCAACGCCGCGUGAGUGAAGAAGGUUUUCGGAUCGGAAAACUCUGUUGGUAGAGAAGAACGUUGGUGAGAGUGGAAAGCUCAUCAAGUGACGGUAACUACACAGAAAGGGACGGCUAACUACGUG
rnacentral:rRNA from 1 species